rnacentral:rRNA from 1 species
UUGGAGGGCAAGUCUGGUGCCAGCAGCCGCGGUAAUUCCAGCUCCAAUGGCGUAUAUUAAAGUUGUUGCAGUUAAAAAGCUCGUAGUUGAACCUCGGGGUCUACCCAUUGGUCAGGCUUAAUUGUCUGCACUGGUGAGAUGGAUCUCUACCUCCUGAGGAACUUUCGUGCCAUUUAUUUGGUGUGAUGGGAAAUCAGGACUGCUACUUUGAAAAAAUUAGAGUGUUUAAAGCAGGC